rnacentral:rRNA from 1 species
UGCACGCAGGGAUGUUGGAUUCAUGGUGUAGCGGUGAAUGCUUAGAUAUCAUGAAGAACUCCGAUCGCGAAGGCAUAUGUCUGGAGUGCAACUGACGCUGAGGCUCGAAAGUGCGGGUAUCGAACAGGAUUAGAUACCCUGGUAGUCCGCACAGUAAACGAUGAAUACUCGCAGUGUGCGAUAUAUUGUAUGCUGCCAAGUGAAAACGUUAAGUAUUCCACCUGGGGAGUACGCCGGCAACGGUGAAACUCAAAGGAAUUGACGGGGGCCCGCACAAGCGGAGGAACAUGUGGUUUAAUUCGAUGAUACGCGAGGAACCUUACCCGGGCUUGAACUAAGCAGGAAGAUGGGCAGAGACGCCCGUUGUCUUCGGACCUGCUUGGAGGUGCUGCAUGGUUGUCGUCAGCUCGUGCCGUGAGGUGUCGGCUUAAGUGCCAUAACGAGCGCAACCCUUCUCCACGUUUGCCAUCAGUUUAAGCUGGGCACUCCGUGGAUACUGCCAUCGUAAGAUGUGAGGAAGGUGGGGAUGACGUCAAAUCAGCACGGCCCUUACGUCCGGGGCUACACACGUGUUACAAUGGCCGGUACAGAGGGAAGCCACCAGGCGACUGGGCGCUGAUCCAUGAAAACCGGUCUCAGUUCGGACUGGAGUCUGCAACCCGACUCCACGAAGCUGGAUUCGCUAGUAAUCGCGCAUCAGCCAUGGCGCGGUGAAUACGUUCCCGGGCCUUGUACACACCGCCCGUCAAGCCAUGAAAGCCGGGGGUGCCUGAAAGCUGUGACCGUAAGGGGCGGCCUAGGGUAAAACCGGUGAUUGGGGCUAAGUCGUAACAAGGUAGCCGUACCGGAAGGUGCGGCUG